rnacentral:lncRNA from 1 species
CAAGUGAGGAAUCUUCCUUGUUUUUCUAUAUUGGCGCUGGCCAUAAAGGAAUUCUCUGACCUACCUUGUCUGACUGUGGGACGUAAGACCCUCAUUUCAGAAGUGAUCUUGCCCCAUACCCUAAAAGAAGGAGUCCUACACAGAGGGGCCAAAAGGAAUCUGAACAGACAGGCCUUACAGGGUUUCCCCUCUCAGUCUAUGAGUAUUAGACCAUACUCUUUUUGUCCAAUCACAUUUCUACACAGUUGUCAGUCAUGCCUAUUCAAUGAUGUUCCCAUGAAAGGCUCAAGCAAGAGACCAAGGUUCAAAGAGUUUCUGGAUAGCUGAACACAUGGAGGUUCCUAAAGGGUGGCAUAUCCAGGGAGGUCACGGAAGCUCCAUGCCCCUUCUCCCCUACCUUGCCUUUGCCUCUCUUCAUCUGUAUCAUUUCUAACAUCUUUUAUAACAAACCAGUAAACAUAAAUGUUUCCCUGGGUUAUUUGACCCACUCCAGCAAAUUAAUUGAACCCAAAGAGGGAGUUAUGAAAACCCCAACUUGAAGCUGAUUGGUCAGAAAUUCUGGAGGCCUGGAGUUGCAACUGACAUGUGAAGUAGGGGCAGUCUUGUGGGAAUGAAUCCUCAACAUGUGGGAUCUGAUGCUAUCUCCAGAAAAAUAACAGAUGCAGUCAAUAAGUGCUGCUCCCACCGAGACACCAAAAUAUCCCGUAAACCAACACACUCUGAGCAGAUCUUCGCAGUGAAACGCUGAGUCCACAGAGCGGCCACACAGACACGAGGCUGAAGAGGAAGGAAGCUGGGAACCCUGCGCGGGGUGAGUGCCAGGACUAGUUCCAGGCCCAGAACGUUUCCUAGGGAAGGGUUGAGUAAAGUGACAGUGGGGCAGCCCACUCUCCUCACGUAUUUCUGGGAUCCCAGCUAUAAGAGAUCCUAUGACCCCCACAGACAGUUGAAUUGGCAGGGGGAUCUGCCCAGGGAGUAGGCAGAGACAGAGCUCCAGGUUGCAGGGAGCCCAGGGGGUUUUGUGUGCAUGGCAGCUGCAGAGGAAGGUGGCUAUAGGCGCCUAUCCCCCAAGGCUCCCCAUCUGACCUCAACUUACCAGUGAGCCAAGAGAGAGCAGGGCGGUCCUUCCUGCGGGACUGGGGCGCAUAUGUUCUGCGGGACCCCCUGCACGCAGCCCCUCCCAAAGCCCCUGUCUGGUUGUUCCUGCAGGAGUGUGUGCACUGUGCCGCCUCCGCUGCCCAGCCUGAGUUCUUGCUAGCGACCCCGCCUGAAUGCUUUCCAGGCAGCUUGGGAGCACUUCGGAUCCCCCAACACAGCAGGGGUCUGACCCCGAGGGGCCGAAAGACAGAGCCCAAUGCCCCAAGGUUGCAGCACAGAGCUCAGGAGUGCCCAGCUGAGACCUGUGGCUGGUGCGCAAGCGCGGGGGAGGAGCCUCCACUCAGAACACUGGGAGGAGUGAGAAGCAGUUCGUGGGCCAGCGCGGGAUGAGACUUGUCUCUCUCAGGGCCUUUCAGGGAAGGGUUGCGGCCUGUCUGCAAGCCUUAGCCUCUGCCGGAGAGAGCCCCCACAGCUCCGAACACCUAACAAAGGAAACGUAAGUGCAGCUCCAGUGAUUGGAGGGGGCUCCUCUAAGGGCCAGGAGAGGACUUGGCAAAAGGAUCAUCUCUCUCCCCUGAACUAUGGAGCAUGACUGCGAAUACAAAAUACCAAAGAGCCAGCGCUGAGUCAGAGCCUGCCGGCAAUUACUCUUAAGCGCCAUCUACUGGUUUGCCGCCGAAAUUACAAUUUCAAAAUAUUCUGCCAGUAUAGAGCACCUGUAAAACCCAGAGCAAGAAUCUAGCCACAAAGAUCCCAUACAGAGCCUUGGCCCUCUGAAAGUAUCCAGAAAUGAAGCCAAUUGACUAUACUCAACAUAUACCACAGUUAAGCCCUCAAGGUAAAUGAAUAAUAUAAAAACAAGACGACAAAGGAACACCAGCCCUCUCAAAAGAGUCAGCACAAGAACUCUGGCAAUUCAAAACGUCAAAUAAGCAUACUAGCCCCUCAGCAAGGACUGAAAUGUCCGGAAUGACAGACAUAGAAUUCAGAAUCUGGAUACCAAAGAAGCUCAUCAAGAUUCAAGAGGAAGUAGAAACCCAAUCCAAGGAAUCCAGUAAAAAUGACCCAAAAAUUGAAAGACAAAAUAGCCAUUUUUAAAAAGAACCAAACUGAACUGGAAUUUAAAAAUUCACUACAAAAUUUUCAUAAUAGUGUUGGAAGCAUUAACAGAGGAAUAGAUCAAGCUGUGGAAUCUCAGAGCUCAAAAACUGAUUCUUCAAAUCAACUCAAUCAGAUAAAGAAAAAAAUUUUAAAUAUACAAAUCUUCAGAGAGGAUACUCAAUCUGUAUCCACUGAACAAUUUCUCAUUUCCUGCUUCCUCCAGUCCGGAGUAACCACCAUUCUACUUUUUGUUUCUAAGAAUUUGAUCACUGUAGAUAACCUCAUUUAAGUGGAAUUGUGUAGUAUUUAUCUUUUUGUGAUUGGCUUAUUUCAUGUAUGUGAAAUGUAAAAAAAAAAUGAAGCUAACAAAUAUUUUAUUAAAACUAAACAUUAAUGUGUUUCAUGCCACUGAACUGUACACUUAACCAUGGCUAAAAUGGUAAUCAUAUUUUAUCACAGUAAAAAAAAAUGGAAAAACACUCUCAACGCUAACUGUAACACUAACUGUAACAAUUAGACCAGUUAGAACAAAAAAUUAUUUCUUAUGGGAAGGUGUUCUAUCAUUGACAUAGUUUAGGAUUGCUGGCACAUGGUAAUAAUAAAAAGCACACUACAUGUAA